UAUAACUUUCAGCAACGGAUCUCUUGGCUCUCGCAUCGAUGAAGAACGCAGCGAAAUGCGAUAAGUAAUGUGAAUUGCAGAAUUCAGUGAAUCAUCGAAUCUUUGAACGCACCUUGCGCUCCUUGGUAUUCCGAGGAGCAUGCCUGUUUGAGUGUCAUG
rnacentral:rRNA from 2 species